rnacentral:rRNA from 1 species
GUAAACGCAGUUGAGCGGAAACGACAUAACGAAUCCUUCGGGAUGCAGNUUGAAUUGGGCGUCGAGCGGCGGACGGGUGAGUAAUGCCUAGGAAAUUGCCUUGAUGUGGGGGAUAACCAUUGGAAACGAUGGCUAAUACCGCAUAAUGCCUACGGGCCAAAGAGGGGGAUCUUCGGNCCUCUCGCGUCAAGAUAUGCCUAGGUGGGAUUAGCUAGUUGGUGAGGUAAUGGCUCACCAAGGCGACGAUCCCUAGCUGGUCUGAGAGGAUGAUCAGCCACACUGGAACUGAGACACGGUCCAGACUCCUACGGGAGGCAGCAGUGGGGAAUAUUGCACAAUGGGCGAAAGCCUGAUGCAGCCAUGCCGCGUGUAUGAAGAAGGCCUUCGGGUUGUAAAGUACUUUCAGUUGUGAGGAAGGGUGUGUAGUUAAUAGCUGCGCAUCUUGACGUUAGCAACAGAAGAAGCACCGGCUAACUCCGUGCCAGCAGCCGCGGUAAUACGGAGGGUGCGAGCGUUAAUCGGAAUUACUGGGCGUAAAGCGCAUGCAGGGUGGUUCAUUUAAAGUCCAGCAUUGUUGAAAAGCCCCCGGGGCUCAAACCCUCGGAAACUGC